UAUGUGAUCGUCUCUCGCAUAUCAAUAAGCGGAGGAAAAGAAACUAACAAGGAUUCCCCUAGUAACGGCGAGUGAAGCGGGAAGAGCUCAAAUUUGAAAUCUUAAAGGGUUUCCCUUUACGAAUUGUAGUUUAAAGAAGUGUUUUCUGUUGAGGUUUCGGUAAAAGUUCUUUGGAAUAGGACAUCAUAGAGGGUGAGAAUCCCGUAUUUGACCUUUACUUUCAACUUUGUGAUACACUUUCAAAGAGUCGGAUUGUUUGGGAAUGCAGUCCAAAAUGGGUGGUAAAUUUCAUCUAAAGCUAAAUAUUGGCGAGAGACCGAUAGCGAACAAGUACCGUGAGGGAAAGAUGAAAAGAACUUUGAAAAGAGAGUUAAACAGUACGUGAAAUUGUCAAAAGGGAAGCGUUUGACAGCCAGUGUUGUUUUUCUGAAAAUCAAUUAAAGAACUGUUUAUGCUAAGUUGUUUAGACUUUAUCAGCUAACUGUUUAGUUUUGAGCUUUUCUUUAAUGCACUUUUCAGUUAACAAGUCAACAUCAAUUUCUUUUGCUGUAAAAAAGCUUGAGGAAGGUGGCUUGAGAUUCGUCUUAAGUGUUUAUAGCCUCUUGCCUAUGCAGUCGGAGAGAUUGAGGUCUGCAGCGUAGAUCCUUCGGGGCUAAAUGCAUUUGUGCUAAGUUAUAGCAUUUUAUAGACAACUUGUUGACUAUGAUUUGUCUUGUAGCUUACUCGCUUAUGUUAUUUUACCUACGCUUAGGAUGUUGAUAUGCAUGACUGAUAU
rnacentral:rRNA from 1 species